UGUAGGCUUUUAGUUGUUUCUGUUUUUCAAGUCCAGCAUUAAUACAUGGUGAUCUGAUAAGAUGCAAAGGGUUAUUUCAAGUCUUCUUGUAUCCUCAGGAAGGCAGAGAGAGCCAUGAGCAUACAAUGAAGGUCAAGGGACCGGACUCUGCUGGCUCUGCCUCAGGAGGACCCAACUGGCAAGGGAUUGGUGGGGCAGUGUUCCAAGCUGGUUGUGCUUGAGGUCCCCACAGGCUUCCACAGAGAAGCAGGACAUUCUUGGGGUCCCCAAGGCUCCUAGGGGACUAUAGGGUGAGCCAAGAGCCAGACAAUGGAGGUCAGGGGACCACAUGAAACUCCUUUUUUUUGGUUUUUGAAGACAGGGUUUCUCUGUGUAGCCUUGGCUGUCUGGGAACUCACUCUGUAGAGCAGGGUGGCCUCGUAUUUAUAGAAAUCCACCUGCCUCAGACUCCCAAGUGCUGGUAUUAAAGUCAUGAGCACCAUUGCUUUGUUAUUUUCAUUUUAAAUAAAGUUUUUUUUUAAAAAAUGAUAGCUCCUUUCUGCUUGAUAUCCGAAGAUCUUUUCCUCUUCACACAAAGCUCUUGCUUAUCCUUUCAGACUUCCUAAAUAUGAAAUACCCACUGUCUACUCUAAGAUGCAAAACUUCCCACAUUUUCACAAACAUGUGAAAUUAAAAUACAUUGUUUAGUCAGGGAACCAUGGUGUCACCUAAAGCCUUAGCCUACUUAUUCUACCCAUAUUUUUCCUUUUUUGUCUAAUCUAAAAAAUGGUAAGUAAGCAAGCUCUCAAGAGCAGGUAAACAAACUAAACAGUCCUAUGAUCCCAAAGGAAAUAGAUAGGAGCAGUCAUUAAAUCUCCCAGCCAAUCAAUCAAGCAAGCCCAGGGCCAGGUGGUUUUAGUACAGCAUUCUAUCAGACUCUCAAAGUUGAUGUCUCUGUCAUCCUGGAAUCACAGGGUCAGUGAGUCUGCAAUAGUUCUACUAGACAAAUGUCAGCCUACCUGCCUGUUUUCAUCUUUUUCCAUUUGGGGGAGCAUUCCUAAUGAAGGACUUGUUGGUGCCCCUGGUGUUUUUGCUACUGCAAACAGUGCUGCAGUGGGGCAGCUUGUACUUGCUAGUGAAGGCCACAGGCAGUGGAUGGAGACUGUUUCCCACUGUUUCCCACAGAUGAACCAGUAGAGUGUGCUGUGGUAGGCGGAAGUUCAGUAAGUGAAACUGCACUCCCCUCAUAGUUUUGCAUGUGCUAAUAAAUAUAAUAAAUAAACCAUUUAUUGCGCUCUUUCCUACAUUUCAUGAUAAGCUAAGCUAAUUCCUUCCCCUGCAUGAUCUCAUUCCAUCCUCAGACCAUCAGUCCUGUGAUACAGAACUGCUUUUUUUUUUUUUUAAAGAACCCAACUAUUUCUGGAACAAAUAUAGAAUAAUUCAUGAAGUAAGGAAGUUUCAACAUGAAGAUACAGUCAACAAUUUCAGGUUCCAGAGGGAUGCUACAUACACAGGAAAAUGAGAUUUGACUAGUAUUUCCCCAAAAGGUGAUUUUGAACUAAGGGAUAAACAGAAGGGGCCCAGGGGAGUAGGAUUAUAACACCAAGUGUAUCUCUUAUUCAUGUAACAAGGAGCAGUCCCCUCGUUCUCCCUUCAGAACAGUUGAUAUAAACAACCGUUUAGAGUAUCUUACCUAAGUUACAUUCAUAGCAAGCUCUCUACAGCUGGAAUUGGAUCUACUCUUACUGAUGGGGAAAACAGCUGAAAUUAAUAUGCUGAGUCACUAAAGAAAUGGUCCAUUUGUUCCUCAACUGUCCUUCUGAAGUCUAUAGUAAUGACUCUCAGGAAGUGAAAAGAAGAGAAUAUAUGUCCCUAAUAGGGUGAGUCCCAAUCCCAGCGAUUGGGGUUGGCUCCAAGACAAUCCUUAAGACACAAAUGUUGCAUUUCUAUGUCCUAUGAUUAACUGGAGUGCCUCAGACCAGAGGUGAGCACUGACGGUCAUGUUAUUCCCAAGAAAUCUCUGCCAGAUUCUUUUUCCUACUGAACAAAUCCUCCCAACUACAUAAUUUGCAGCUUUUACAACAGAUGGUAUCCUUUUUUCAAAAAAAAAAAUCUCUUAGAUUAUUCAUAUCAUUAUGAACCAACUAGCAAGUUAGCCAUAUACGGUGAGUAUAGCAAAUUCCCUCAGAAGCCUUGAGCUAACUCUCACGCUGAUAAGGAUGACUUUUGUUGUUAUUGUUUGUUGUUAUUUGGGUUUUUUCACUUCUGGUUUAUUAUUGUAUAGGUGUGCAUGUGCAGACAUGAUCAUGCAUAUUCAUAGGCACAUAUGUACAUCAGAGGACAACUUGCUAGAGUUGUUUCUCUCCUUCCAUAUGUAUCUUAUGGAUCAAAAGCCAGCCUCACUGAGCAUUACAGUAGGAAAUACUGUCACCUGCUGAGCCAUCUCAACUGCUCCAUUAUCACUUUUAAAACAGGAUCUUGCUAUGUUGCCAAGGCUGGUCUUGAACUCAUGGAUUCAAGCAGCUCCUUCACUUCAGCCUCCCAAGUAGCUGGUGGACUAUAAAUGUGUGCCAGUGCAUCUGGCUGAUCUAGCAGCUUUUAAAGUCUGAAUGUAUUCCCAUCAUCCCAACAAAUCUAGCUGCCACAACACGUCUAACAAACCCUACACUCAGGUACUAAUUUAAAUUUUUCAUUUAAAAAAUGUUUAUGUGCGUGGAUAUUCUGUCUGCAUGAAUGUCUGUGCACCAUGUGAUGCCUGAUACCCUCAGAGACCAGAAGAGGCCAUUGGAUACCAAAAAUGGAGUUACAGAUGGUUGUGAGUGCUGAAAAUCGAACCUGAGUCCUCUGGAAAACCACCCAGCGCUCUUAACCACCUCUUUAGCACCCCUACGAGUACCGUUUAUCAUUUUCCAGAUGAGGAACACAGCAGCUAAGCAAUUCAUCCGUUGCACCAAAGCCAGCAUAUGCAGGUCCACAAUCUUACAAUAAAUUUGGCCAUAGUACAUUUCAUUUCGAAGCUUACUCAUUAGCCACUCAGAACAUUUGUCUUCCUAAGUAUUUAUGCAUAUAGUAAUGAAGAACAUCAUAUUUCCAACUUAGCGUCUCCAGGAUAUUGGUGUAUAUUUUUAUGACUAAUUAUGACUGAUUAUAGUAUCUAUGCAAAUUAUAAUUCUUCCUAGCUUGAGAAAGAUAGCCACACCUUUUACUUUCUAUGGUGAGGCCAGUCUUUGGUGAAUUGGUCAAAUACAUAUUUACCUGUUAACAUCUCAGGUGUCUUAGUUUGAUUUUCUGUUGCUGUAACAAAAAUACUCUAACAAAGGACUAGAGAGAUGGCUCAGUAGUUAAGGUCUCGGGGUGCUCUUGCAGGGAUCUAGGUUUAAUUCCCAGCACUCAGUUCCAGUGGAUCCAGUGUUCUCUUUUGGUUUCCAUAGUUACCAGGCAAGCAUGUGGUACAUAUACAAGUAGAAGGAGCACUCAUGCACAUAAAGUAAAUUUUAAAAUCUAAAAAUGUACUCUGACAGAGGCAGCUUAAGGGAGAAAGGGUUUCUUUUAGCUCACAUUUCCAGGUUACAGUCCAUCCUUGUGAGGAAGGCACAACCGCAUGAGCCAGAGACACUAUUCACACCACAUCCAUAGUCAAGAAGCAGAACAGAGCAAAUGAGUGUGUGCAUGCUUGCACACAACUCACUUACUCCACUCUCACACAGUUCAGGAGCGCCUGCCACUGGAAUGGUGUCACCCACAGUGGGUAGGUCCUCUCACAAUUACUCACGGACAUGCAACUAGGCCAACUGGUCUAGACCGUCACCCAAACUGCUGUCUUCGCAGAUAAUUCUAGAUUGUGUCAAAGUUGACAACUAAAAAUAACUCAUCAGCUAUAUGAGCAAAUAGUAUUCCUUUUAAAAUGUUGCUUCCUGGAUCUAUCUUGUUUCUUUCCUUCAGUUUUACCUUCUUUUGUGAAUGACUGUUGUGUGUAAAGGUUGACAUCAAGUAUCUAGCUUAGUUGCUUCCUACCUUCUAUAUUGAUGUGGGAUCUCUCACUUCAACACAGAUCACUGAUUAGGCUAGUUUCUAGGUAGGACACUUCCUCUGGGAGUCUCCUAUAUCUGCCUCCCAGGUGCUAGGAUUACAGCCAGGCUGCCAUGCCCACCAGCAUAUACAUGGAUGCCAAAGAUCCAAACUGCAGUUCUCAUUCUUGUUUAGCUAUCCGUCCGGACAUACAGAAUGGCUCAUAUAAGAAUGUACGUUUUCACAUUUCAAUUUUAGAAUUACAUUACUUCUUGUGUGCACAUGUGCAUGAACACACAUGCACACAGGUACAUGCAUGCCAUGACUUGUUUGUGAAGGUCAAAGUACAACUUGGGAAGUCUGUUCUCUUGCAGUCUCUGGGUACAGCGUCUGAACUUACCAAGUUAGGCUUGGUGGUAGAUAUCUUUACCCACUGAGCCAUCUUUUAAAUACGUUUUUCUAAAACAUUUAUCUUUAAAGAGACUCAUGAUCAACUAUCAUAUAAUUUUAGGAAAUCCAGCUGCUACAACUCUACAUUAAAGUAGAUUUUCUCAUCACAUCACGUAUAAAAUAUAAUCUGUAAGACAGCUAAAGGAUUGAAAGAAAACAGUCAUCACUCCCAGCUGAGAGACAUUUGCUCCUGGGCUCUGCUCACUUAGCUCUUAAGAAGCUAUGGGAAUGGACUCGGGGCAGACUGCCAAUAAUCUCAGCAUUGCCCCUUAGCUUCAAGAAUCUAGGCAAGUCACACAGCCCUUUGGCCUUCUCUUCUGCAAAGUGGAGAUACCAACGUCACAGGUUGACAAUGGGGACAAAAGUGAGGUAUUAUAUAUACAGCCAUGUGACCAAAACUAUAUUAUACUUAGAAGUUGGAGAACACAGAAAAAUGUAUGAACUUGAGGGGGCGGGAAAUAGACUGCCUAUGACACCAAAGGCAUGAGCAACAGAAGGAAUAUACAAAGCAAACAUAAGAUUUAAAAUGUUUGUGUGAAGGACUUUAAAAAGAAAACCAAGGGCUACUGGCUACUUAGCAACUGGCUUAGUGGCUGAGAAAACUGGCUGCGCUUCCCAAGGAUCUGGGCUCAAUUCCCAGCAUCCACAUAGCAGCUCACAACUGUAACUCUAACUCCAGGAGAUCUGAUACCCUCUCCUGGCCCCCAUAGACACUAGUUAUACAGGUGGUGCACAGACAUUCAUGAAGGCAAAUCACCCAUACACAUAAUGAUUUUUUAAAAACUUAAAAAGAAAAUUGAAGUUAUAGAAUAUGAGAAAACAUUUGCAAAUCAAGUCUGAUUCAAGGACACAGUAGCCAAAAGAUGUAAAAAAAAAACAAAAACAAAAACAAAACUCUACAACUCAGCAAAAAUAAUUUUCAAAUAGAGAAAAGAAUUAAUAAUAAUAAUUCCUAGCACUUUGUAUGAGACUAAUAUAGUGAUGUCCAAACCAGACAAUAGGUAAGUGCCCAGAAACAGGCCAAUAUCCCUCACAAACAUAGAUUCCAAAAUUUCUCCACAAAAUAUCUGGAAAGUACGGGGCGUGGUGGCGCACGCCUUUAAUCCCAGCACUCCGGAGGCAAAGGCAGGUGGAUUUCUGAGUUCAAGGCCAGCCUGGUCUACAAAUUGAGUUCCAGGACAGCCAGAGCUAUACAGAGAAACCCUGUCUCAAAAAAAUAAAACAAACAAAAAAGUCUGGAAAGCAAGUCUAGCAACUUAUCAAAAGGAUUAGCACUGUGACUUUCUCACAGAAAGGGUGAUUGAACACAAGGUCUGCCAGUGUAACUAACAUACCAUGCUAAUGUUUCCUCAGGGGAAAUGGCAUGAUAUCCUCUCAAUAGACACAGAAAGCAUGCAACAACGUCUAGUACCUGUGCUUGGUUGUUGUUGUUGUUUUUUUUAAUCUACAACUUAAGAAUAGGAGCAAUUUUUAAAUUUUUAUCUUUAUACUCUCUAGGGGAGUGGACCUCAGGUCUUCAAGGCUUGGGUGGCAAGAAGUUGACUAUCCCCAGCCUCACUUCAUAUGAUUUUGAGACUAUUUCCUAACUCCAGAGUUUAUUUUUGUAACUGGAUGAACUAAGACUGCUUGCAGGGAUAAAGGGCCAAGGCGACUUUAAAUGACAGAAGUCAUUGGUGCCAACCCUAGAUCCUAUCACCAGACUUGAAAAAACUCAAGCCCUCAAGGUGCAUGGACACUCUAGAUCAAGCAAAGCAAAAACUGUUAUAGCUCCUGGGGUCCUGCAUACUCAGUGCAAAGGUCAUGAGCACUAAAGUGUACAGUGACACCUCCUCUGAUUCUUGCUAUAGCUUCUUGGCCUGCUUUCUGGUUAUCAGGCAGAGCCCUCAUCUGUCACACUCUAUCUCUGCUUCCCUUCUUCGGAAGGUGGAGAACUCAUUACUUGUCAUUCUGUCACUAGGUCUGCCCAUCAGAAAGUCUUCUGAGCCCCAAAUUGACCUGCCUCCCCUUACUCUCUGAGAAUCUUUGCAGUGGUCUCCUAGAGACACUUGGACUGUGGGAUCCUUAAGGGUACAAGGCAUAGUUGGUCAAGUCUCUGGAGAGUAGGCUGCCUUAUCUGGGCCUACCUGCCAGCCCAGUGCCCACUGAAGCAAAAUCUCUGAAAACCCAGGUCCCUACCCUCAUGAAGGAUCCUUCUAGGAGGAAGAGAGUCAGUUAGUCCUACACAUACACAUGGACAGACAGACACACAACACAGAGAGAGAGAGAGACCAGCACACAGACAUGAACACGUAAAGGUACUGUACACUACUCAGGGACUUCUGUGCUAACCUUCUAACGGCCCUCCCCAAGAGAGGCUAUGGGUCACAGGUUUUGAGAUUCCUCUUCUUUCUCUUUCACUGUAAGAAAUUCCAGGCUUUAUAAAAAAGAAAACACUAUACUUCCUGCCCUCCCUUGCAGCUAGAAAUAGCUGUGUGACAAAGUUCUAGCCAAUAGAAUAUAAGCAUAGAAGUUUCUUCCCUUCUCUUCUAACUGGACUGCAGACAUAGUGGAGCUUCAUGUACACAAGAAAGAGCCACACCCUGGGGACAGAACGCACUAGCCAGACUUUGCCAUGCAGAACAGCCACACAUUGAGAGAGCCCAUUUGGAUCUUCCAUUAUAAGUUGACAUAUCCAUAGCCUCACUAAAUGCAACUUUUAUCUGAAGCUGUGAGAACAAACUGUAGCCCCAUGGAGGCAUCACUACAUAGAGACACUCCUGGUGACAAAGACACAAAGGAGAACAUGAGAGUACAGGGACCUCAUUCUGUUGGGAGCACCUCUGAGCAAAGAGUUGUAGGAAGAAAGUCCAGAACAAAUCAGGGGAACUCUGAUGGACAGAUGUUCAACUCUCCCAAGUAGUUACAAGGACCCAGCAUGGUCCUGUAGGCUUAGACUUUCUAAACCUACUUUAAUAAGUGUUUUCAAAUGCUUUGACCUCCCCGCCUUCUAGCAUCCAAAGGCAGAGGAGAAAAGAUGGUAAGUAGGACAAGGGGAUGUGGACCUGUUUAGUAGUAGUUUCUUGGGACAAUUCCAAUCUCUGUCGGGAUACCAGUAGUCCAGUUUGGCAGUGUCAGGAUACCCAACACAAAUCAGCAAUGGUGGCAAGAUCCAUCAGAAACCACCAGGUCUCUGCCUUAUCAACACAAGUCAGCAGGAAUGACCAGGACCAGCCGAGAUGCCAGGAGACGUUCUCUGCGGUGCUUCUUUUAUGGAAGUGAAGAUUAACAAAGAGGAAGGCGGGAGCCCAACGAAGUGUUGCUAAGCUAGCUAUGCAAGCCUGCCAUCACGUCCAUUGAGUCCUAUUUAUACUCUCUCCAAACAUCACCUGGCCUCCCACAGGUCUUGCCUCAGCAAAACACCGUGUGAGUCUGUACCAGCUGACAUAUCCAGAAACUUCCACUUCAUGGUGCUAAUUCAUGGUAGGUGUUCAGUAAUUGGUUAUCACAACUAAAAAAAAAAUUGGUCAUU